rnacentral:rRNA from 1 species
GGUUGACCUCGGAUCAGGUAGGGAUACCCGCUGAACUUAAGCAUAUCAAUAAGCGGAGGAAAAGAAACCAACAGGGAUUGCCUCAGUAACGGCGAGUGAAGCGGCAAGAGCUCAAAUUUGAAAGCUGGCCCCCUCGGGGUCCGCAUUGUAAUUUGCAGAGGAUGCUUCGGGAGUGGCCCCCAUCUAAGUGCUCUGGAACGGGCCGUCAUAGAGGGUGAGAAUCCCGUAU